AUUGAACGCUGGCGGCAGGCCUAACACAUGCAAGUCGAGCGAGCGGCGGACGGGUGAGUAAUGUCUGGGAAACUGCCCGUUGGAGGGGGAUAACUACUGGAAACGGUAGCUAAUACCGCAUACCCUCAGAUGUGCCCAGAUGGGGUUAUCUAGUAGGUGGGGUAACGGCUCACCUAGGCGACGAUCCCUAGCGGGUCUGUGAGGAUGACCAGCCACACUGGAACUGAGACACGGUCCAGACUCCUACGGGAGGCAGCAGUGGGGAAUAUUGCACAAUGGGCGCAAGCCUGAUGCAGCCAUGCCGCGUGUGUGAAGAAGGCCUUCGGGUUGUAAAGCACUUUAAGUUGGGAGGCGUUACCAGCAGAAUAAGCACCGGCUAACUUCGUGCCAGCCGCCGCGGUAAUAC
rnacentral:rRNA from 1 species